rnacentral:rRNA from 1 species
GACGAACGCUGGCGGCGUGCUUAACACAUGCAAGUCGAACGGAAAGGCCCUGCUUUUGUGGGGUGCUCGAGUGGCGAACGGGUGAGUAACACGUGAGUAACCUGCCCUUGACUUUGGGAUAACUUCAGGAAACUGGGGCUAAUACCGGAUAGGAGCUCCUGCUGCAUGGUGGGGGUUGGAAAGUUUCGGCGGUUGGGGAUGGACUCGCGGCUUAUCAGCUUGUUGGUGGGGUAGUGGCUUACCAAGGCUUUGACGGGUAGCCGGCCUGAGGGGGUGACCGGCAACAUGGGGACUGAGAUACGGCCCAGACUCCUACGGGAGGCAGCAGUGGGGAAUAUUGCACAAUGGGCGGAAGCCUGAUGCAGCAACGCCGCGUGCGGGAUGACGGCCUUCGGGUUGUAAACCGCUUCCGCAGGUGACGAAGCGUGAGUGACGGUAAUGGGUAAAGAAGCACCGGCUAACUACGUG